AUUGAACGCUGGCGGAAUGCUUUACACAUGCAAGUCGAACGGUAGAGGGGGGCAACCCCUUGAGAGUGGCGAACGGGUGAGUAAUGUAUCGGAACGUGCCCAGUCGUGGGGGAUAACGUAGUGAAAAUUACGCUAAUACCGCAUACGAUCUAUGGAUGAAAGCGGGGGAUCGCAAGACCUCGCGCGAUUGGAGCGGCCGAUAUCAGAUUAGGUAGUUGGUAGGGUAAAGGCCUACCAAGCCAACGAUCUGUAGCUGGUCUGAGAGGACGACCAGCCACACUGGAACUGAGACACGGUCCAGACUCCUACGGGAGGCAGCAGUGGGGAAUUUUGGACAAUGGGCGAAAGCCUGAUCCAGCCAUUCCGCGUGCAGGAUGAAGGCCCUCGGGUUGUAAACUGCUUUUGUACAGAACGAAAAGGUUUCUACUAAUACUAGGAGCUCAUGACGGUACUGUAAGAAUAAGCACCGGCUAACUACGUG
rnacentral:rRNA from 1 species